AAGUAAACACACAGAAGAUCUCUAGGCCAAAGAAUUGGGUUUUACAAUUUGUACUGAAGGUGGUGAGAUCUGUGGUAGGACUCAUACCUUCCUGAGGUUAGACAGAAGGCACCUCAGGGAAACCUGUGGCUUCUUCACUGACACAGAUGGACAAUUAAUACAGUUUCUGUAACUUCUUUACAGUUACUGCUCUAAGUUCAUCUUGGAAAUAGGAUUCAAAUUCCAUAGUGUCUUUGUUAGACUUGUUUUCUAUAAGUAUGCUUCUUUUUUAGAUUCUUCUAUCAAUGAUCUGUAAAUAUCUAUAUGCAGUUUGGUUUGAGAUUAUCUAUCUCUCUAUCUCUCUAUCAACCUGGCCUGAGUCCAUCAUCUGAGGAGGAAACAUUGGGACUGAUCCUCCAGUCAGGCAAAACUCCAGUUGCCUUAAAAGGGAUGUUUGCCUGAGUGAGGACUGCAAGAUUGGGGCCAUUAUGUGUGAAGGAAGAGACUACUAAUUCUUCAGCCCCAUAAACACAAUCCUAAUUUCAAGCACAUAAGCACACCUUCUGAUUUCAGUGGGACUACUCACAUGCUUAGCAGGAGGAGAAAGGAUUUAGUUUCUGUACUGCGUGUACUCUCCCCCAAUUUCCCAGAGACUGGCUGGCUGCACCAGUGACUGACACUUUGGACAAACUACACAGCUGAUUUUUAAAAAAAUGAUGAGGAACUGAGGGACUAAGUGAUUUUCCCAAGAUCACGCAGGAAAUCUGUGGUAGAACAAAGAACUGAAGCUGGUUCUCCUGACUCCCAGGAUCCGUGCUUCUGGAGAGCUGGGGUUAGAUCUGGGAAGAACUGCAGAGGAACAAAUCCUCUGGUUGGAUGGCCCUGCAUGGAUUUCUCCUCCAACUUUUGACUGAAUCUUUAAAAACAAAUCACAACUGUACUUUCAUCUGCUUCAUUAUUACAGAAAUGAUCAAGGCAUCCUUUGUUUAUAUCAUCAUGUUUUGUUUUUCCUGGCAUGGCCGGCUUUAGGACAUGCGGGGCCCGAUUCGAAAGAGCUGCUGCCGAAAUGCCACUGAAGGCAGCAGCAGCGAUUGAGCCGCUGCCGAAGAUAGCAGACACUGCGGGGCCCUCUGAGGCACAGGGCCCAAUUGACAGGAAUCAGGGGAAUCGGCCUAAAGCCAGCCCUGUUUCCUGGUGAUUACACAUCUUUGUAUUAGUGAAGUUGUGUAGUUUUUUUUUUCUUUUACUUUUUCUUGCAAAUUGUCUCUAGAGGAAUAGCAAAUGGUCUGAUUCCAUUCUCCCAAUGUUUAAAAGUGAAAUAACUCUUUGGACUUAGAAGGAUAUAGAACAGGUAUUCGUGAGCGCUGAAUCAGCACAAAGUGUCUAGAGCAUUCACAUAGCUCAUAUACAAUACAGAUAAAAAUGCCUUCCUUGUAUUUGAAUAGACAUUGGGGAAAGGUUUUCAUUUGAAAGCACUCCAAAACUAUAGCCAUUUCUUAAAAAUGUCUGAAUAUUUCUGCCUAAUUGGAUUAAGAUCAAUUUUAUUAAAAGAUGCCUGAACCAGUUAAGUCCUUUGUGACAGAAAGUGAAGUAAAACAAAAACACCAAUGAUAAUAGUCAUGGUUUCUAUCAACGGUUCACAUCUGUAUUUAACUUGAAGCAGAUGCUUUUCAACAUAAGCCAUUGUUUUAUUCUUGCAUGUGAUAAUAUGUUUUGAUGUUUUUUUCUUAAUUGUAACAUGAUGUA